UUUUGGGUGGGUAGGUAGGUGGGGACAUCCUGGGUGAGGGGAAGCACAUGAUCUUAAUAUAUUGUAUGAUAAAAAAUUUAAAAGCAAUAACUUAAGAAGAGCUUCAAUGUGCCAUGGCUCAUAGAUAAGAAUGGAAGUUUACCAGGAAAGAAAAGCUCUCCUGAAUUUUCAUGGCAGAGUACCAUCGCACAAACAUAUAGGCAAAGCUAACGCAGCAUUCCUCACCGAAUUAAACUGUUUAUUCACUGCCAAUACAUUUCCCCUUCUCAAAUGUGAGAUGAAAUGCCUUGUAAAUUACACUGCAACACUUGGCAGGAGGGGGGUCCUGGGAAUAGUCCACAGUUCCUGCAGUCAGAAGGCUUCAGAAGACAGAAGUAAUUCUUUCAUCAGUAGACUUCUUCACUCAGUGAGCUCUGGUUCUCAUUUGGAACUCAAUGUAAUAUGCCUCAUUUGGAAGUCAUUCCGACAUGAUGCAUCCAUCAACUCUGAGCUUCUCUCCCGUCUUACUGAUUAUGUCUACCUUCUUUCCAACUGCAUGCUAAUUUCUCUAACAUAGAGAGCUACUGAUCUAUAGAAUUCUGCAUUGACUCUCUACAUGAAAGUCAUAGCACAGUCAAAGAGUUAAUCAUUAAGCAUAGCGAUAUAUGCAUUUAAUUAUUCACAAGUUACUAUAAAACAAAACUGCUGAGUUCAUCAGAGGCCAAAUGCAUAGAUUCUAUAAUUACUUAGAAAGUAAGCCCUGAGUUUCAUUUCAUGGAACCUUUGCAUUUAUUAUCAUUUCUAUGUCUUAUUUACUUUGAGACAUAGUAAUCAUAUUGCCAAAUGUCGACCAUAAUGAAGUAUAUUGAAGUUUGCUUAGUCAAAUUCUUAGCUUUUAUGAGGUUUCUGCGUGCACCACUCCUGGCAAUAACAAUCAAAAUUUAUUCCUCACUUCAUAAACUUGGAAAAGAUUGUUAACUUCUCAGACCACAGAGUAUAAACCCCUUCCUCCUAUUCAACUUAAAUCCUUGAUUCUAAGAAUUUUAUUCCUUUGAAGUGUCCAUAAAUACCUCUUAUACUGAACCUUGUGGUGUGGAUCGAAUAUUUGAUCAUGUUAUUCUUUAGAAUGUGUACACCUGCAUUGCCAUACAUCUAAAAUCUUGUGUGUGUGCCCUCUAAACUCUGGGUACCAAAAUUUCUCUCAAAUAUAUAUCUUACAGUUUCCAGUUUCCUUAAAUACACCAUGUGGGAACAAUCCCUGUGCAUUUUAUUAGAUCUUUAAAUAUUAGUAUGUCUUUCAAACUAUUUUAUUCGGGAUGUAUUCCAUUGUUAAUUAUUUUUUAAUAGUUAUUAAGCAUAUUAAAUAUUCAUUGAAUAAGUUAAAUAUACUGGUUGCUCGACAUAGCAUUGUGAUAUGCUAAGGAAAAAAAUCAUUAGAAUACAUUUGACCAAAGAAGUUGUUCUUUGUUGCAAACCUACUGACCAUGGAUCUAUGCUACGUGCCUUCCUUAUUAUUGCUAGAUCUCUCAACUGAAUAGUAGACAUGAUUAUUCUCUUCUUAUACUUAGAGAAACUGAAGUUGAGAGGGUUUAUACACAAUCAGUGACAUACCCGAUGUUUAAACUCAAGAUUUCCUGACUCAGUGUUAGCUUAUUGUCAUCCGUUGUCCGAAUAUGGAGGAACUGUAUAGUCUAUGACAACCAUUCUAAAAACAUAGUUUAUAAUCAAAGUAAUUGAAACCCAGAAUGUGUAAUAACUCACACUUAAUAAAAUAAACUCAGGACUAGGUCUUGUUCUACUAAAUGUUCUUUCUACAAAAUGACAAAAUCUUCUGAAGUCAGAAUAUAAAUACAGUUUCAGAUGCUUGGGGGUGAAGAGCGAGUGGGAAACAUCUCAGAGCAGUAGUACAGACAUUUGACAUCUGCCAGUGUAAUCCCUACGACCCUUCAGCAGGCUGCUUCAGCUUCCCUGACAAAGCCAUUUUCCUUCAUGUUUAAGAAUCUAAAAGCCCUUGCCACAGUUUGAGCUUUCCCCACUUUAAGCUCUGAUAUCAGGAAUAACUGUUAAUAGGAUAUGCAACAGUGGGUUUUCAUCUUUCGUGUGACUUCUGAGUCUUCUUCUAUUCUGUGUCUUUUGGUUAAAAAGAGCUCUUGCAUUUCCGUGAGCUGCUGUAUCCCCUGCGCUUGUGUGCUUUCCAAUACCCUAAGCAUUUUGUGUCCAUUAAUUCUUCUAUCCUCUGCAGUGCUCUGGGGCUGAACCCUUGUAGGUAAAGAAACUGAAGCAAAUAGAAAUUGGGGAACUUCCGUAAGAGUCCAUGGGCUGUGAAGUUAUUGUGUUUUGAUCAGUUUAAGAGGGAAUGGAGAGAGAAUGGACAAUGAACGAUUAAGAACUAAGGGGAACUAACAUUAUGAACAAAGAGGAAAUCAUAUUUAAGAGAAAAUUAGAUGACAGAUUAUAAAAGAAAUAGAAAAUAAUUAAUGAUUAUAGUUACCAUUCAUUCAAUGCUUCUUGUGUGCCCUGAGCUGUUCUGAGCAUUCUACACACAGUAACCUACUUAAAACCUCCAACAUUUCUCUGAAAAGGUAUUAUCAUAUACAUUAAGGAAAUGAAAUGAAGUUUCCAGUAUUUUUAGAGUAGAGUGGUUUAAAUGAUUAGAAACGGAAAGGUCAGACAGGGAUAUGAUAGAACUUAUGAGAAGAAAUUGGGUAGGAUAUGGUAAUCAGAAACAUCUUUUGCAAAAUGCUGGAAACGUACUCAGUUUCUAGCAAGAACAGUGUAUGGGAAAGCUACAGAAGAAGCCAUCAAGCAAUAGGGUUACAGACACAUGCAUCUGGGUUGAACGAGAAACAGCACAGAGGGUUGUACCAGAGCUAAGAUGAGAGAAGAACUGGAAGACAAGGGGAACCAUGAGUUUGUUUCUUUUGAAAUAUGGGACUUGGCUCUGUUUAUAGUUGGAAGGAAGAAGCCAGAGGGGGGUAGGAUGUGCAGCUAACUGGGGAAGCCAGAUAAAGAACAUGUGUGAGAGGAUCUAGUCAGAGAGAAAAGUGACAGGUUGUAUUCUAAAGGAAGGGAAAGACUGGGCUAGGGAGAUGACUCCACCAUUAAAGGCAAAGCUCAAAAAGACAAGAAACAAUGACGUCUCUUCCUCUGACCGGGGAUGGGUGGGGGACAAUAGUUGACUUAAGUGGAUAGUGUGAUUUCAUCCACAGAUGAGGGGUAGAUGUCUAAUGGUCUGCUGUCAUUAAUUAAAUUUGGUAUGUACAUAUGUUUUUACAUACCAUUUUCAUUAAAGAUAACAGACCAAACUUUACAUGAAGCAGAUGUAAAUUGUUAUUUUCUUAUGAUUGCAAAAGAAAACCACUUUUAUAAGGAACUCUACAUUAUUGCCUUUCCCUGGUUUAUUGAUCCAUAAUUCCUACAAUUUUGCAUACUUGCAAAUAUAAGACCCCCAAAUAAUUGAAGAUUUUCAGCCCUAGCAUUAUUAAGGAAAAACAGUAUUUCUUGUUAAAAUAUUUAGCUGUAAAAUUUAAAUAUUUUUCUUCCCUUAAAAUGCAUAAAAUUAUAUUCUAGAACUCAGGAAAUUGUAGAUAUUUUAACACACAUUAUUUGCUAAGAUUUGCAUGCUUAAUAGUUAAGAAUAGUGACAGUAGUGACCAUGAUUCACAAGAAAUAAGGUAUUUACUAUAUCGCUCUUCAUGAAAAAAUAUUCUGACCCUAGAUUUAAAGGUUGAUGAAAAUCCUGAUACACUGAAGCCUUACCAUUUAGUAGUAUUGCCAAAAGUGUUUUGUAGAAAACACCCUAUCAGGAAGCACCAACUCUUCCCUGUCUGGUGAGCACUAAAAUGUCAUUACAUGAAUUCUCACUAAAACCAAAGCAACAGUGUGAACAACAUCUUUGACAUUCAAUCUUCUGGGAUUUUUCUCUUUGGUCAUAAAAUAUACUAAUGAUCCUGUAAGAAGACUAGAUUUCAGCAGUAAGCUGAAAACGUGUCACAAAUUUCUUGGAAAGAAUUUGGGGGCAAUGUGAAAACAGAAUACACCCGGUGCCUAUGAUCAAUGCAAUCCCGUGUAGGACCUCUGUUUUGGUGAGUAGAGAGGAAUCAUCAUCUCCCCUCUUAGUAUUGAUGUUACCAUUGUGAAUACUUAGUUUAAAGGGAAUUGCAUGUUGUAUGUUUUAAAAAGAAUAUAACUUCAAUGUACCGUACUGUGAGCAUUGCACAAAAUGACAUCGGCCCCAUAUCUUGAAUUGCAAAUUAUUCCCAAUAUUGUUUUAAUAUCAUUGCCAAGGUUACCAUUUUUAACUCCACAUUUAGUCAAUCCCUUGUGUACAAAUUAAUCAAAGUCACUUAAAUUCUGCUGAAAAAUGCAAUAUUCAUUUUUAACCUGAUGAUCAGUGACUCCCCCCACCUAACUUAAGAGUUCUUACUUCUGUAUUUACUGUAUAUAGAUAAAUUUUAUCUUCUAAAGUAGAAGAGUUACAGAGUAUAAGGCUCCGUGUUUCAUCCACCAUCUUGGUUGCUACUUGACUCAUUCUCCUUUAUAAAUACUAACCAAGGACAAGAAAUGUAAGGGAUCAAAGACAGCCAUGUCUGUGCUUCUGACUUUACACACAUGAACAGAGAGUAUGGCAUUUGCUUUGGAAUCAGCGUUCUUUGCUUUUUCCUGUUUUCACAACACACAGCGCAUAAACUAUAGCCUCUUUUGAAACAUCCGCUUAGUAAUUUUGAUGUUUCUUGUUUUAACCCAUUAAAAUAUUUUUUUAAACAAGUAACAUUGUGCAGUUGGCAAAUAUUCAGACCUUCAGUUUCAAUGGAAAUGAAAACUCCAUAAUAUACUAUAUCCUAACUAUUUUCUUGUUCUGAGAUAGUCAUUUAGCUUGCUUAGUGAUCCCAAACAAUUCCUGUACUGUGAAUAGAGAGCCCGAAUGCACCCAAAGCUUUAGAGAAAUCUCUCUUUGGUUAAUUCUUCGAAACAACACUGAGAAUCUUUGGCUAUGAACUAUAUUGUCCUGCAUCUAUGGAAGCAGAUGCAUAUGUGUUUUCUCCCUCUGACAUUGGUCUUGUCAGGCUUUUGAUGAAACCAGCGAACAUGGCCGUACAGGAAGCCCUCUGCAGACACAUGUGGAUAGUGUGCUAAAUCCCUUCAUUUUCUGACUGCUCUUGUUAUAGAAUGCAGCUUUGGUGGUCUAGAAAAUUAAAUGUGAUCACGCAUUUUGAUCCAGGUAGGGCAGCUUUGGUUGAACUGCCCUUGGGCGUCCCCCCUUCAUCUGCAGUGAGAUAUCCACUUUAAGGAAAUCAGUGCAUUGCAUUCCCUGCUGCUCUCUGUACAUCUCUCAUUUCAUGAUAUACAGGGGAGAUUUCCACAGGACUCAGUGCCUGAAAUAUGUACUUCCCCAAGGGGCACAUUUCAAAGUAUGCUUUAGAGAUAUAGUGAAUUUUAGAAUCGCUCAUAUGUUCCUCGUUCCUUUGGCCAGUAGGAAUCCCAGUGUUAAGCUGCACUUGUAGGACAGUUGUACAGUUCCCUCUGUCCCUGGAUCACCUCUCCACACUCCCACCUUCUUCCCGAAAUGCCCAUUGGAAUGAUCUAAAGCAGUCCAAGUCCACAUCUGCAUAAUAGAUAGCUAUACAAUGUAGUAGACAUGGAUGAGCUGUAAAGGUAACACUGUUGUCGUACAUGUCUUACUUCCUUUAAAACUCCUCACCACGAUGUAUACCACAUCCUUGAUUCAAGGAUCUCUCCUUCAUUCUGGUGGAAACUGAACAUCAUACAAAUAUAUAUUCAUUGUAACUUCUGUUGUGUUAAUAACAGUCAUUUCUGCAAACAACACUGAUAGACCCAAGCAUGAAUCUGUCAGCAUUGUUCAUUUCUGUGACUAUUGCCAGUGUGUGUGUAUGUGUGUGUGUGUGUGUGUGUGUGUGUGUGUGUGUGCAUGCGCGUGUGUGUGCGCACGCGGGUGCACGGGGUGUAUGCAUACAUUGCAUGGUGUAUGAUGUGUAUGUGUCAGUGAGGUCAUGUAGGUGAUGGUCAGAACACAAAUUUUAAGACUGAGUUCUCUACUCCUUGGGUUACAAUGAUCAAGUGUAGGCCAUCAAUCUCACAUAGCAAGAAAUUUUAUUCUACAAGCCAUUUUGCACAUCGUGGAUGUUUUAAAUAUGGUGGUUACUCAAAUUUCAAUUCUUAUUCAUGAUGACUUUCAGUGUCAUCAUUUGUUAGAAAAAAAAACAACUUUCAUUUUUUCACAUUUGUUCCCUGUACCAUCCUAGACUUCCACAAUGGAGACAAGAAGCAGUUCACUCUCUAGUUGGCAAUAAUCUCUGUCAUAUAUAUUAGAGCAUAAUUUAGGAUAAAAAAUUUUACUUUUAUCUUACCAGAUAUAUUUUUUUCUCUAAGUCAACCAUUGUUUAUAUCCAAUAUGGGUCAGAUACGUAAAACAAUAUAUUGUUGGCCUUUGUUUUUUGACAAAAUUGAUUUUGUUACUUGGUUAUAAUGUAUUCUGUGUUGAUCCAAUUUAAGGUCUAUGUCUGCCUCUUUCCAUUGCAAGACAUGGAACCACGUGGCUUGUACACAUGGGAGCCACUGCUUUCUUCUGACCAGCUCCCAGAUGUGCACAGCUCCUGAUGCAGUUAUGUUUUUAUUUGAUAUAAUGGCACAUCCUGAAUCAAUAUUUGUAGUAAAGAAUAUUAAAACCAUUUUUAGUAAGAAAUGCUGUGUUCAUAUAGAUUGCCCAGAAGAAUAUUUGAUAGAAUGAUGUAUUAUUGUGCCAUCUUCUUGACCACAGAAAUCUGGACUGCAGAUAGAGGACAAUCACAGCUGUGUGAAAACAAUGCUGUAAUCAAGAUUUGAUGAUGGGUAUGACUAAGUUAGCGAAAGCAGAAGAAUUAAAUCACAGAAGGAAUGCAAGUGCAAAUUUCUAAGUCGUAUUUAUUUUUAGGUAUCCAUUAACCGCAGAAGGCACAUUCAACUUUUAAGGCUAUGUAACUUACACAGUGGACACUGGGAAUUGUAAUAGCACUUAUUCCUGGGGGGAAAAUGUGAAUUCUCUGUAACCAAGAAGGGCAAAAAAAAA
rnacentral:sRNA from 1 species